rnacentral:rRNA from 1 species
CGGGGAGUGACUUAGCGGCGGACGGGUGGAGUAACGACGUGGGUAACCUGCCCCAUACCGGGGGAGUAACGGUUAGAAAUGACCGCUAAUACCGCUUAAGCGCGCGAGGCCGCAUGGCCGCGCGCGAAAAACUCCGGUGGUAUGGGAUGGGCCCGCGUCUGAUUAGCUAGUUGGCGGGGUAACGGCCCACCAAGGCGACGAUCAGUAGCCGACCUGAGAGGGCGACCGGCCACAUUGGGACUGAGACACGGCCCAGACUCCUACGGAAGGCAGCAG